UGAUACACCAACAGCUGGUGAGAGGAAACUAAGGUUACUGUACAACCUUGAAACUUGAACUAAACAGGUCAUGUUGGAUCAGUCAAACUGAUUAGACAUCUCUCUACAACACAUAAAGGUGUUUUCGAGACACACAAACCUGAAACAUACCCAAAGAGGCAAGGCUAACCCUGCAAGCAACAUCGGGGAAGGAUAAGCUUAC
rnacentral:lncRNA from 1 species